GGUGGGAUGGCCGAGCGGUCUAAGGCGCCAGACUAAGGAGACCAGAGCAUUUGAUGCUCGCACAAUCUGGUCCGAAAGGGCGCGGGUUCGAAUCCCGCUUCCAUCA